rnacentral:rRNA from 1 species
UACGAAGGGAGCUAGCGUUGUUCGGAAUCACUGGGCGUAAAGCGUACGUAGGCGGAUUGUUAAGUCAGGGGUGAAAGCCCGAGGCUCAACCUCGGAAUUGCCUUUGAUACUGGCUGUCUUGAGUCCGGGAGAGGUGAGUGGAACUCCUAGUGUAGAGGUGAAAUUCGUAGAUAUUAGGAAGAACACCAGUGGCGAAGGCGGCUCACUGGCCCGGAACUGACGCUGAUGUACGAAAGCGUGGGGAGCAAACAGG